rnacentral:misc_RNA from 1 species
GAUGAAGAACGUAGUGGAAUGCGAUAAGUAAUGUGAAUUGCAGAAUUCAGUGAAUCAUCGAAUCUUUGAACGCACAUUGCGCCCGCCAGUAUUCUGGCGGGCAUGCCUGUCUGAGCGUCAUUUCAACCCUCAUGCCCCUAGGGCGUGGUGUUGGGGAUCGGCCAAAGCCCGCGAGGGACGGCCGGCCCCUAAAUCUAGUGGCGGACCCGUCGUGGCCUCCUCUGCGAAGUAGUGAUAUUCCGCAUCGGAGAGCGACGAGCCCCUGCCGUUAAACCCCCAACUUUCCAAGGUUGACCUCAGAUCAGGUAGGAAUACCCGCUGAACUUAAGCAUAUCAAUAAGCGGAGGA